UACGUAGGGCGCAAGCGUUGUCCGGAAUUAUUGGGCGUAAAGAGCUCGUAGGUGGUUUGUCGCGUCUGUCGUGAAAGCCCGGGGCUUAACCUCCGGUCUGCGGUGGAUACGGGCAGACUAGAGGCAGGUAGGGGAGAACGGAAUUCCCGGUGUAGCGGUGAAAUGCGCAGAUAUCGGGAGGAACACCGGUGGCGAAGGCGGUCUCUGGGCAUUACCUGACGCUG
rnacentral:rRNA from 1 species